GUCCGUAUGGCUCAGUGGUAGAGCAGCGGACUUUUAAUCUGAGAGUCCGGUGAUUUUAACUCCGUACGGGUA